rnacentral:rRNA from 1 species
GGAGUUAGGAAAUGCAGGUGCGUUAAUAGCGCACUUGCUUGACUAAGGCUCCAGAGGAAGCCACGGCUAACUCUGUGCCAGCAGCCGCGGUAAUACAGAGGCGGCAAGCGUUGUUCGGAAUUAUUGGGCGUAAAGAGCACGUAGGCGGCCUUGCAAGUCAGUUGUGAAAGCCUUCCGCUUAACGGAAGAACGGCAUCUGAUACUACAGGGCUUGAGUACGGGAGGGGAGA